rnacentral:rRNA from 1 species
CAAUAGCGUAUAUUAAAGUUGUUGCAGUUAAAAAGCUCGUAGUUGGAUUUCGGGGCAGCCUGGCUGGUCCGCCGCAAGGCGAGUACUGGUCAGCCGCCCUUCCUCUCGAAAGCCCCGACUGCUCUUCGUUGCAGUGGUCGGGUAGUUCGGGACGUUUACUUUGAAAAAAUUAGAGUGUUCAAGGCAGGCCUACGCCUGAAUACACUAGCAUGGAAUAAUGGAAGAGGACCUCGGUCCUAUUUUGUUGGUUUCCAGGGCCGAAGUAAUGAUUAAGAGGGACAGUUGGGGGCAUUCGUAUUUAAUUGUCAGAGGUGAAAUUCUCGGAUUUAUGAAAGACGAACAACUGCGAAAGCAUUUGCCAAGGAUGUUUUCAUUAA